UACGUAGGAGGCAAGCGUUGUCCGGAAUUACUGGGCGUAAAGCGCGUGUAGGUGGUGGGACAAGUCUGCUGUGAAAGCGCCUGGCUUAACCGGGCGAGGUCGGCGGAAACUGUCGCACUCGAGGACGGUAGAGGGGGGUGGAAUUCCCGGUGUAGUGGUGAAAUGCGUAGAGAUCGGGAGGAACACCUGUGGCGAAGGCGGCCCCCUGGGCCGGCCCUGACACUGAGACGCGAAAGCCAGGGGAGCGAAUGGG
rnacentral:rRNA from 1 species